rnacentral:piRNA from 1 species
UAAAGGUGGAACAGUUAGGAAAAUGCUUGC